rnacentral:rRNA from 1 species
GGGUGAGUAACACGUGAGUAAUCUGCCCCUGGCUUUGGGAUAGCCACCGGAAACGGUGAUUAAUACCGGAUAUGACUACUUGCCGCAUGGUGGGUGGUGGAAAGUUUUUCGGCCAGGGAUGUGCUCGCGGCCUAUCAGCUUGAUGGUGAGGUAAUGGCUCACCAUGGCUUCGACGGGUAGCCGGCCUGAGAGGGUGACCGGUCACACUGGGACUGAGACACGGCCCAGACUCCUACGGGAGGCAGCAGUGGGGAAUAUUGGACAAUGGGCGGAAGCCUGAUCCAGCAACGCCGCGUGAGGGAUGACGGCCUUCGGGUUGUAAACCUCUUUCAGUACCGACGAAGCGCAAGUGACGGUAGGUACAGAAGAAGCACCGGCCAACUACGUGCCAGCAGCCGCGGUAAUACGUAGGGUGCGAGCGUUGUCCGGAAUUAUUGGGCGUAAAGGGCUCGUAGGCGGUUUGUCGCGUCGGGAGUGAAAACGCCGUGCUUAACACGGCGCUUGCUUUCGAUACGGGCAGACUAGAGGUAUUCAGGGGAGAACGGAAUUCCUGGUGUAGCGGUGAAAUGCGCAGAUAUCAGGAGGAACACCGGUGGCGAAGGCGGUUCUCUGGGAAUGACCUGACGCUGAGGAGCGAAAGUGUGGGGAGCGAACAGGAUUAGAUACCCUGGUAGUCCACACCGUAAACGUUGGGCGCUAGGUGUGGGGUCCAUUCCACGGAUUCCGUGCCGCAGCUAACGCAUUAAGCGCCCCGCCUGGGGAGUACGGCCGCAAGGCUAAAACUCAAAGGAAUUGACGGGGGGCCCGCACAAGCGGCGGAGCAUGCGGAUUAAUUCGAUGCAACGCGAAGAACCUUACCUGGGUUUGACAUACACCCUGCCGCUCCAGAGAUGGGGCCUCUUUUGGGGGUGUACAGGUGGUGCAUGGCUGUCGUCAGCUCGUGUCGUGAGAUGUUGGGUUAAGUCCCGCAACGAGCGCAACCCUCGUUCUAUGUUGCCAGCAUGCCCUUCGGGGUGAUGGGGACUCAUAGGAGACUGCCGGGGUCAACUCGGAGAAGGUGGGGAUGACGUCAAGUCAUCAUGCCCCUUAUGUCCAGGGCUUCACGCAUGCUACAAUGGCCGGUACAAAGGGCUGCGAUCCCGUGAGGGGGAGCGAAUCCCAAAAAGCCUUCUCAGUUCGGAUUGGGGUCUGCAACUCG